rnacentral:rRNA from 1 species
AAAACCGACACAGGUGGAUGAGGAGAGAAUCCUAAGGCCGGCGGGAGAAGUGUUGUUAAGGAACUCGGCAAAAUGACUCCGUAACUUCGGGAGAAGGAGUGCCACAGAGAUGUGGCCGCAGAGAAAUGGCCCAAGCAACUGUUUAGCAAAAACACAGGUCUAUGCAAAACCGAAAGGUGAGGUAUAUGGGCUGACGCCUGCCCGGUGCUGGAAGGUUAAGAGGAGAGGUUAGAGCAAUCGAAGCUUUGAAUUUAAGCCCCAGUAAACGGCGGCCGUAACAAUAACGGUCCUAAGGUAGCGAAAUUCCUUGUCGGGUAAGUUCCGACCCGCACGAAAGGCGUAAUGAUUUGGGCACUGUCUCAACAACACACCCGGUGAAAUUGAAAUACCAGUGAAGAUGCUGGUUACCUGCGCCAGGACGGAAAGACCCCAUGGAGCUUUACUCCAGUUUGAUACUGGGAUUCGGUACUGUCUGUACAGGAUAGGUGGGAGGCUAGGAAAUGGUGACGCCAGUUGCCAUGGAGCCAACCUUGGGAUACCACCCUUACAGUACUGGGUUUCUAACCUGCAGCCGUGACCCGGCUGGGGGACAAUGUCUGACGGGGAGUUUGACUGGGGCGGUCGCCUCCGAAAGAGUAUCGGAGGCGCUCAAAGGUUCCCUCAGAACGGUUGGAAACCGUUCGAAGAGUGCAAAGGCAGAAGGGAGCUUGACUGCGACACCGACGGGUGGAGCAGAUACGAAAGUAGGACUUAGUGAUCCGGUGGUAUAAAGUGGGAUUGCCAUCGCUCAACGGAUAAAAGCUACCCUGGGGAUAACAGGCUUAUCACUCCCAAGAGUUCACAUCGACGGAGAGGUUUGGCACCUCGAUGUCGGCUCAUCGCAUCCUGGAGCUGUAGCAGGUUCCAAGGGUUGGGCUGUUCGCCCAUUAAAGCGGUACGCGAGCUGGGUUCAGAACGUCGUGAGACAGUUCGGUCCCUAUCCGGCGUGGGCGUAGGAUAUUUGAGAGGAGCUGUCCUUAGUACGAGAGGACCGGGAUGGACAAACCUCUGGUGUAUCUGUUGUUUUACCAAAGGCAUGGCAGAGUAGCCAAGUUUGGCAGGGAUAAACGCUGAAGGCAUCUAAGCGUGAAGCCCCCCUCAAGAUAAGAUAUCCCAUCUUCGGAGUAAGACCCCUUGAAGACUACAAGGUUGAUAGGCUUCAGGUGUAAGUGUGGUAACGCACUCAGCUGAGAAGUACUAAUAGGUCGAGGACUUACC